rnacentral:lncRNA from 1 species
GAGAAAGACGCCGUGGUGUUUGAGACUGGAUCGUAGAAACGGAUUGGUGUGUUGUAGAUUACGGUUCCGGAGCUCGUGUCGGGUACGCCUAGCUCCCGCGUGAGUCCCACGACGCCGUUUCGGAGAUGGGAGUCGCCGAGGAACGUGAGGUUUCGGAUGGUGAAGGAUUUGAAUGUGAAGUUGACGUUAUCGGAGGAGACAAAGAUUGGUUCCGCUAUUGAGAUAAAGAAGAAGAGAGCAAGAAGCUUUCUUGAAGAAGCCAUUAGAGAGAGAGAGAGAGAUAGUGUGGUGGGAAAAUGGAUUCGAAUUGAUAUGAUGAAGAAGAUGAGGGUAUAUUUGUAAUUUUGAUGUAACAACGGUUAUCAGGAUGGAACCUUACACGGCGUCGUAUGUGGUGGGUUCGUUAAGUCAAGUGUGAAAGAGUUUGAAGAGCGGGUCGGGUGGGGCCUAAUAAGUGGACGCAAAAAUCAAAACUGACCGUUUUAAUGGCAUAUAUAUAUGGCGCCACCACGUGCAUUAGAAUACGAUGGAAUGUUAUCUUUUUACUUCAUUUAAAUCCCUUAUUUAUGUAUCUGUCUGUCUCUAUUAAUAAUGACAAGGUCAAAUUUGACUCACCAACUAUGGUUUGACUGUCUACUGUUUUUUAACAGCAUUUUAGACUCAUCUUGGAUCACAACAUGCAUCUCUCAGCAAACAUAUUUCACUAGUUAAUCUUCAUUUUGAGUGUUUUGUGCAAUAGUAAGUGCUAAAAUAACCUAUGACCAUAUUCUAUAACUUUAGCUGGUUUACUUUAAUAAAUAACAACGGAUCGUGUGAUACAAAAGUGGAGUAUUCUAACAUUAAACUAGAAGUGAGAGUUUGGUUAUAUUGAAAAGGUACAAAUCUCUUGCUUUCAGCACCACCUGGCUCUUUCCACUAGGAGAAUCCACAGAACCUAAGAAUCUAUAUAUAAAUAGAAACUAGCCGUUAAGUAUGAAUGUGAACGUCAGUGGGAUGACUGACUAAUUGUUUAUUACAUUACCCAUUCAGUAAUCCUUACAAAAGCAUAAAGGAAUCUUGGCAGAUUCUAAUAUGAUAAUAAUAUAAUGUGAUACAAUAGGAUAAGCAAGCACAAAGAGUGUGUAUUCACAAGCUAUUCUAUGAACUUGGGCUGAAGCUAUUAAGGUUUUUGUUCCCUCAUUUCCUGCAAAAAGAAAAGGAACUUGAACACAGAGUUGUACCGUCGUUGACCCCCAUGAAAUUUCAUUGCAAAAAAUUAUUACAUGUAUUUUCUAUUAAAUAACUAGUGAAAUGUUAUAAAAUCAGUGUAUUGACCCCGCUAAAAUAUUUACUCAAAACUAACUUGACCCAUUAUUUAGUUAUAGUGACCCCGUUAAAUUUUGCGGCUGGCUCCGCCACUGUCUACUUGUUGCUUGACCUGCUCGAUGAUUCGCCUCUUCCUCUCAAAGAUCUGCACAAAAAAAAUUUUCAUCUUUACAUUUGCUGUCCCCCUCGGAUUCUCCCUGCCAGAAAACAUCGCCGACAACGACCUACUCUUGAGAUUUGAGUGAGAGACUAUUAGCAAUGGAUUUUUUUUUUUUGAAUUUCAAAAUUUUGGGGAUAAAGAUUUCAUUUUGACAUUUUUCCUUUUCCUUUUUUUUUUAAAUCGGUUGCCCCAUUCCUUUCAUUUUCCCUUUCAGAAAUUAUUUUUAACCACUAUGAAAAAAGCGUUCAAAAAAAAAACCCAUUAUAUGUUAUAAAUCAUAUUGUGGAUGUCCAUAACCAGUCCAUACUAGAGAGAGAGAGCCGGCGGCCAUGAGAGAGAGAGAGACAGCAAACCCCACUACAAGAAAACACAAGUUUAACGAGGAAAAUUAACGACCACGACGCCGUUUCGGAGAUGGGAGUCGCCGAGGAACGUGAGGUUUCGGAUGGUGAAGGAUUUGAAUGUGAAGUUGACGUUAUCGGAGGAGACAAAGAUUGGUUCCGCUAUUGAGAUAAAGAAGAAGAGAGCAAGAAGCUUUCUUGAAGAAGCCAUUAGAGAGAGAGAGAGAGAUAGUGUGGUGGGAAAAU